UUGUCCUUUGACCAUUUUAUUGAAGUCACAGCUCAAUGUGUUUCUCUCAGUAAUAGCAGGCUGUUGUGCAAGCCUAUGGGAGCAUUGACAUACAGGGCUCUAAAGUGUAGAAGUGGCUUUUUAAUCCGAAAACCGAUUUUAAAGUUGUCUUCGUUAUGGAGAAUGGCCGUGUUGGAGUUGGCCGAUGUAAAUGCGCCUUUUGGUUCGCUGUGGCUCAUGACAUUCUCGGAUUUUUAAUUCUCAUGGUUGGAAUAUUUUGGGACGUUUUCUUUCACGACUUUCUCAUUUACGUGGGCGGCGUCAUCAUCUUUUUGAGUCUCAUUUGGUGGAUAUUCUGGUAUACGGGCAACAUUGAUGUACCACCUGAAGAGCUGGAAGACGAUGUGGGGAUAAAAAAGAUCAACAGAGGCUUCUCUGGUGUCGUGCGAAAGGUUUCAAGCCGACUUUCUAAUGGAAUCACACGGUCUUUCAGAAGGAAUAGCAGGGGCAAUGGUCUUGCAGAGAGCUCCUGGCCAAAAACCAGAAAAGAGACCACACAGCAACCCCCUGUUGCUAUCUCUGUCAUUUCCUAUGUGAACACACACUCCUCAGUGACACCAAACAGCCUGAAUCGGGAGCCUCUGUCAAUAUGAUUCUCAGUGACCUGAGGAUGAAGGUCUACUUGGAAAGGCACAACCUUACUGCCCAGAGAGCCCUUGAUUGGAAUGUUGAUGCUGUAUAUUUGUGGUUAAAUGAACUUUAAUAUCCUGCAUAUAUUUUCCUGUUGUAUUUAUGAUACUAAGCUAUUGUAGUCUGAUUUAUAUUUCUGCUGAUGUUUCAACAUUUAUGAUGAAAUUUCUACUGACUCCACUCUGUCAUGAUAAAUUAUGCAAUAUACACUUGCAA